AGAUCAGGUUUAAGUCGUCUAAUGGCAAGUGCUUCCUUAAAUAGCAAUAAGGACCAAUGAUCAGGAAGCACUUGCCAUUAGACGACUUAAACCUGAUUA